CGUAGGAAUGGGGGAAACGAUCUGGGUGGGUAAUGGGCUGGAGUAAUAGGUGGUGGGGAAGGGGAUGGACACCCGUAGAGAUUUGGAGCAGUAGCCGGAGGAAACGUGUUUGUGGUCGGAGUGUCGAUAGAGGCUUGCAGGCUGUAGAUGGAGGUUCGAAGCUCUUCAAUGGCGGCGAGAAUUUUAGAUUUUGACAUUUUGUGUUUUUUUUUGUUUUUUUUUGGAUAUUCAAAGAGAAAUACUCUCAAUGAAAGCACCAAUUGAUACGAUCCGUAUCAAUGGUGGAGCAAUUCGAGUAGCUCAAACUCCAGAAAUCAAGAGAGAAGAGAGAGAUUUGAUAACUAUAAACCAAAAUAUUCAUUCAUACUCAAUAAACUUAGAGAUUACAUUAUUU
rnacentral:lncRNA from 1 species